CUCUCACAAGCUGUAGUUUUAGCACUGUGAAUUUGAGACUGUGUUCAGGUCCCUCGGCCAACGAUCACAACAAGGAGAGAUUUCCAGCGUUUCAUACGAGGAAGAUGAAGAAGAAGGAGACUUCAUACUUCUUGUGUAAAGGAAUUUCAACGAAGGAGGUUUCGUUUACCAAUUUCAUUAGAAUUAGGUGUUUAAGUACUAAUAACGAUAGUCAUAGCGACAUAGAGAAUAAUAAUGAUAAGAAGGACGCGGCCC
rnacentral:misc_RNA from 1 species